CAUUGAUGUAUUUGAUUUGACAGUGAAAGAGAGAGUUCUCUCAUACAUAUUCAUACUUGGUAUCAAUCUUUGAUAUUUAAAUUUUUUGUAGUUAGAUUUUCAGCAUAGAAUAGUGAAGAAAAUUCGGUAAUUAUUUUGUUUAGUGCGGAAUUCAUGGUAAAACUUUGAUUAGAAUUAUGACAUGAGAUUAGCAUAGUAGUGUACAUUAUUAUAAAACUGAGUUCUGAGUUCACUUAUAAAAUAUUUAUUGAGUGCCUAUUCCAUCAGUACUCUAGAUACUAAUAACAUUGAUUACCUUGGGCACAUAGUUUUCUAAGGUCUUUAUUUCCUCAUUUGUCAAAUUUAAGAUUGAAGCAGGUCUCACUUUAUAGCUUAAUGCUGUAUGUCUAAAACUACCACUAUUUUGUCAUUUUUUAUGUAAUUGAAAGUCAUAAGGUUUAUUGUAAUUUUACUCAACUAUU
rnacentral:lncRNA from 1 species